rnacentral:lncRNA from 1 species
UAUGAAUGUGGAUAUGCAAAUCAAACAUGUUUGUUUCUUUGUUUCCCCAGGGAAAACUUGAAGAGUCUUUCACUUUUCAUCCUCCAGUCACUGAUUGGGCUAUAAGGACACUGUGUGAGGUGGUGGGAGCAAAAAGCAGCUGUUUUCCUGACCCCUUACCGUCUAGCAUAGAAUUUGAUGGACAGAAUAUUGGUACCAGCUGUGGAAGAGCUGUUCAGCCUCAACUCCAGCUCUUGCAGUGAGGUUUAAUAUCUUUUGAUGCAACAAAGGUUCUUACGGGAUCAGAGAUUUACUGUGUAAGAACUGCAACAUUACAACUGUUCACUGAUUUUUAAACUGCUGUAUCUGGAAUGAAACAGAAAAAUCCUGAAUGAAGUAGAACUGGGAAGUCCUGUAACCUGUGCAUUAUCUAUGCAGGUUCCUCUGAAAGUAAC